AGGACGAACGCUGGCGGCGUGCUUAACACAUGCAAGUCGAACGAGGUGCUUGCACCUAGUGGCGAACGGGUGAGUAACACGUGAGCAACCUGCCCUUGGCUCUGGGAUAGCCUCCGGAAACGGGGAUUAAUACCGGACAUGACCUUCUCCUGCAUGGGGGAGGGUGGAAAGUUUUUCGGCCAGGGAGGGGCUCGCGGCCUAUCAGCUUGUUGGGGGGGUAACGGCCCACCAAGGCGACGACGGGUAGCCGGCCUGAGAGGGCGACCGGCCACACUGGGACUGAGACACGGCCCAGACUCCUACGGGAGGCAGCAGUGGGGAAUAUUGCACAAUGGGCGAAAGCCUGAUGCAGCGACGCCGCGUGCGGGAUGAAGGCCUUCGGGUUGUAACCGCUUUCAGCGAGGGGCGAAUUCAGACGGUACCUGCAGAAGAGCGCCGGCUAACUACGCGCCAGCAGCCGC
rnacentral:rRNA from 1 species